UUUUGGAGAGUUGUCUCAACAUGGCAAUCAUACCACAUCUUUUUUGUUGUUGUAAUAAAUGAAUUUUGUAAAAGAUUUAAUGACUGGAGAAUUUCAGAAAAGGUAUCAAAAGUUCACAUGAAUAAUUUUAGCGCUUAUCUGUAUAUUAUGAACAUUCAUUACUAUAUAAAUAAAGUGUAUUUACUUUCAAUUCCAAGUUUACUAAUCGAUCCAUGGUGGUCAAUUGAUAUAGUAUACAGACCCUCUCCAUUUAAUAAACUCUGUGACCGCCGUGGAUAGUAAACUUGAAAAUGAUAGCAGAUAGAAUUAAAAUACACUUUAUUCGUAGUAUAUGUAUGUUCAAAGUAUACAGAAAAACGCAAACCGGAAGUCUAAUCUGACUUAAAAUUUCGUCCAAUGACGGGACAAUAUCCGGAUGCCUUUUUUCUCGUUUUUCUCCCAACAUAACUCUAUCUGAAUGAUCAUAUAAACGGAUGACAAAUGCGACCAUGCACUGUACUUAUAGGACACAGUGGCUGAUUUAUUUAUUGUGGAAAGAAGAGAAGCGAC
rnacentral:lncRNA from 1 species